AUUGAACGCUGGCGGCAGGCCUCACACAUGCAAGUCGAGCGAGCGGCGGACGGGUGAGUAAUGUAUGGGUCUCUGCCCGAUAGCGGGGGAUAACUACUGGAAACGGUGGCUAAUCCCGCAUACUAUCGGAUUACCCCAUAUGGGAUUAGCUAGUAUGUGGGGUAAAGUCUCACGUAGGCGCCGAUCUCUAGCUGGUCUGAGAGGAUGAUCAGCCACACUGGGACUGAGACAAGGACCAGAAUCCUACGGGAGGCAGCAGUGGGGAAUAUUGCACAAGGGGCGCAAGCCUGAUGCAGCCAUGCCGCGUUUAUGAAGAAGGCCUUAGGGGGGUAAAGUACUUUCAGCGGGGAGGCGUUACCCGCAGAAGAAGCACCGGCUAACUCCGUGCCAGCAGCCGCGGUAAUAC
rnacentral:rRNA from 1 species